rnacentral:rRNA from 1 species
CCUACGGGUGGCAGCAGUGAGGAAUAUUGGUCAAUGGGCGCGAGCCUGAACCAGCCAAGUAGCGUGAAGGAUGACUGCCCUACGGGUUGUAAACUUCUUUUAUAAAGGAAUAAAGUGAGGCACGUGUGCCUUUUUGUAUGUACUUUUUGAAUAAGGAUCGGCUAACUCCGUGCCAGCGGCCGCGGUAAUACGGAGGAUCCGAGCGUUAUCCGGAUUUAUUGGGUUUAAAGGGAGCGUAGACGGGUGGUUAAGUCAGUUGUGAAAGUUUGGGGCUCAACCGCAAAAUUGAAAUUGAUACUGGCAGUCUUGAGUACAGUUGAGGUAGGCGGAAUUCGUGGUGUAGCGGUGAAAUGCGUAGAUAUCACGAAGAACCCCGAUUGCGAAGGCAGCUUACUAAACUGUGACUGACAUUGAUGCUCGAAAGUGUGGGGAUCAAACAGGAUUAGAUACCCCUGUAGUC